CGCACUGGCAAGUUAUGCAUAUUAGCUAGUCUGCGCAUGCGUAGUCAUUGUUCAUUUUGUAAACAUCCAUGAUUGUCUACGGUUUGUGAAAGAAGAUGUGUACAUGAAUUACAACCCCAUCCGUCCAAUUUUACGAUAUUCUGCGACUUCAACAAUUCACUAACGGGACCUGGUGUGUGUUCUCAUAGGUAACGUUAUCUAUAUCCCGUUUUUUAGCGAUUUAUCAAGGCUUCAUGGUACUGCAGAAGUGAUUUUCGCGCGGUUCAAAAUGGCGCCAGUGACACUCCAGUCAUAACAUUGUUGCCCAUCGAUGCCAAAGUUAUUGUGUGCGAUGUACCAGAGACGUGGAUGUAAUUUAUUAUACAGCAGUUUGAACCUGUGUAUAUUUGCGUGUAAUGUGUGAAAAUAUCUGUGUCAACUUUUUCUAUUGUUUAUUUCAUAAUGUCAACAUUGAUAGUGGGCGAUUCGCAUGUGAACAGACUCAAAACAUUCUUAGGUUCACAUCGUUCCGUUAAUUUUGUGUUUAAUAUAUAUGAACUCAAAGAGGUGAACAAUUUCGGUAUAAGUGGAGGACUUGUGAACAAUGGUCACCAUCUAUCCCUUAUUACAUCUGCAGUACGACGGUGUAGACCUCAGCACCUAAUUGUUUGCAUUGGAGGCAAUGAUUUGGACUCGAGUGAAAUAAAUUUUAGUUUGGAAUGUAUUGUUUCUAAAUUGACUGCCAAUGUGACUCAACUUAAAAGGUGUUUCCAUUUAAAGUAUGUUACCGUGCUUAGUUUUCUCCCUAGAGAAGUGACUUAAUUAUAAUCAACGAGUCAAAAAAGCCAAUAGACUUCUUAAGCAAUUUUGUGCUUGUCACACAGUAACAUUUUGGAAGCUGAGAGGAUUCGCGGAAAGUCAGAAACCAAUCUUAUGCGACGGGGUUCAUCUUAAUGACUUGGGGUUCCAUAAACUGUUUAGAGAGAUUAGAGGUGUCCUAUUAAUUCAGCUAAGACAGGAACCCAAGCAUAGUCCCUCUGUAAACAGCAAUGACGACAGGGGCUUCUAGCUUUCAAAGCAUCCAGAUCAAUCUGCAGAUAAGACUUUCCAUCACUUAUUAUAAUUUGUUUGGAUACAGAUUUUGAUGGCAUCCACACCAAAACGCAGGAGGCGGAACAAGACAGCCUCGCAUCCUCCCACAGAAACCCAACCUCAAAGCGGUCUUAUGUCUCAUGAGGACAGGGCCACAAUGAUAAGGAUGUGCAUGGCCUCUAUCAUCCCAACCAUUGAAAAUACUUGUCGACGCUAUAUGGAUGAAUAUCCCCAUGGUGAGAGCAAUCCUUCAUUGUCAAUCCCCAUGCAGACUGCAACUUCACAACAGCAAUCAGCCGACACUCAACAAGCCUCUUCGCAAGCAGUAACACCUGACCAUUCCCUACUGCAAGAGAUAAUUUCUUAAGGUGAAACAAUUCAAAGCCCGCUUUCCACAUAUGGACAACGAGCCAACUCCAGUUCCUCCAGCAUUUGUGCGGAUUUGACUGAAACAACCAUUUUUUUAGUCCGCAACUCUCUGUCUGAAUCAACAUUAUCAGCUUACAAAUCAGCUUAUUUAACCUACAACUGUUUUAUUGAACAACCCUUUAACAUAACGCAUCUCCUCUACCACCCUGUCACUUAGUUUUAUUUUCCAACUUGGUAACUACACGGAUAUUACACAACAUUUCACCAUUCGUAAAAUGCUUCAGGGAUUCCGGAAAUCGAAACCAUCAUCUGACUCACGGCUACCUAUAACCCCAACAAUUUUGAAGAAAAUAAUUCAUGCUUUGGAGUUUAGUACCACAUCAGCUUUUACUAAAUCCCUCCUCCGGGCCAUGUUUACCUUAGCAUUUUGUGCUUUUUUACGAGUAGGAGAGCUUACCAAAACAAAUGCUCAAACCCAGCAUUUCCUUCUUUUUGGAUAUAUCACGUAAGGAUCCAAUAGUCCAUGCAAUAGGUAUAUACUAGUAGAUAUACAUAUACCUCACUUUAAGCAUUCUAAAGCAAACACAACUACUCUACGCCUGCAGCAAAAUACGACAGAUCCUUUAGUUUGCCCAUGCCAAGUACUUCUACAUUACCUAAAUCUUAGGAAACAUUCCUCACCAUCAGAGCCGUUAUUUUCCUUCAUGGAUGGUUCGCCCAUCUCGCGUCAAUACUUCACAGAGCAACUGCGUUCGGCUUUAGCGUUUUGUAAUUUGGACUUGCAUCUUUACAAAGCUCAUAGCUUCCGCAUUUAGGCUGCUACUACAGCUGCCUCUCAGGGGUUUUCGGAAUUACAAAUUCAGAGCAUGGGUAGAUUGAACUCUGGUGCUUUUGAAAAGUACAUUAGAAUCCCAACACUUAAGUUUUGAUGCACAUUCGUUUGAGUUUUGACAUUUUUUAAUGGACAGUGAAGACAGGGGCUUCACGAUCCUUUUUUUCUAGCAACCAUUAGACAGGGGCUACUGGUUGUGUUUUGAAUAUCUGUGCCAUUAUCUUACUUUGAGUCAGGGGCUCAAACAGUCAAUUUGCUUGUACAUGUUUUGUCUUUUGUAAUAAUAGUCUUUAUGUUGUAACCUUUUUUAGUUAAUAGUUAAUAUCAACCAUUAGACAGGAGCUACUGGUUGUCUUUUUGACUUAUCUUACUUUUAGUCCGGGAAUAAAACACCCAAAUUUGCUUGUACAUGUAUGUUUUUUCUAAAAAUAGUCGUUAUGUUGAAGGGUGUUCCUUUUCCACAAAUUAGUGAUUUUGUUAUAACUUUAACAAUUUUUCUUAAUCAUGCACUGACAUUUCUGUUCAAUUGCAAUGUGGUUUUUGGAUAUGGGGCGUUAACAAGAUUGUCUAUAUUUAUAUAUAUACAGGUAUAUAAACCUAUCGAUGAGUGAUAUAACCUAUCUUGUUAAGGUGGCAGAUGAACACCCCAUAUCUUUACUUAUAUACCAGAUACUUUAUUAUCUAUUUCUGCCAAAGGUCUAAAGCUUUUACUAGACUCAAUCGCAGGAUACUUUGUGAUAUUUUCAAGGUUCUAUGUAUGAAUAUUGUUCUUCGAGUUUUAUGUCAUUUAUUGUCAGGAUACUUUGUGAUAUUUUCAAGGUUUUAUGUUGUUCUUCGAGUUUUAUGUCAUUUAUUUGAGGAAAUGCCUAUUUUCUACUUGUAACAUCACAUCACUUAUUCUUCAUUUCGUAUUAUAUUAUAU